ensembl:lncRNA
AUUUCUUAAAAGAUUCUACAGCUGAAAAAGUUUUGGGAAACUACUCCAGAUUGUUCCAGUUUGGUGUGUGUACUCAGCUGGACUCAUACUUCUUCCUCUCCAUUGGAUUUUUAUGUUCGACACCUCCUUAGGGGACAGUUCCAGAUCAGGUGUCAUUUCACAGCAAGAAGCCAAAUUGUAUGACUGCUUCCAUACACUCAAGAGCAUGAACGAAACCAAGCUGACUGUUGCUGCUGGCAGUUCCCAGAAUAGUGUUCCAACCUCCACAUCCACAGGAGCAAAAGCCACAGGCUUGUAAAAGGGGGCACUCUUGUGAUGCCAAGCUUGGGAGAUAAUCUCUGAAAGAGUCAUACUUUUCAUUGCCUCGUAGAUUAUGUCUAAUGCCCUUUUCAAGGGUAUAAAAUAAUCUUCAGCACUUCUCUACCAUAAACAGCUUCAUCCUUCCAUAAACCAGGCCAGUUGCCCAGCUGGGAACGUUUUCUGCAAGACAACGAUAGCCCCUGAGGCUUCUGAGUGGCCAAGCCCUGGAUUUAGUCCUCAGCUCUGCACUUGCUGAAAGAUGCCCUUGAGUCUUCAUUCUUGCUCAGUGUCCUAUGAAAAAUGCUCAGGCUGGCACCACCUGAUCCCAGUGGCUCAUGACCUCCUGACCCUGACCUGUUAGUUGACUCCCUCAUUUUUUCCUUCAUAAACAAAGCUCAGACAUCCGUUGGGCUAGACAAGGGAUGAUGGUUGAGGUUAGAACAGGGUUUAAAAGUCAACAUAGGAAUCCAAUUACUUCUCUGCAGAAGCAAAUCCAGUGUGAAUUCUCCAAAGUCAGGUAUCUGCCUGGUGUGCAAGGUGGUGAGAAUCCCAGAUGGAAGACAAAGGAAAGGACUCAGUGAGGCAAACAUCUUCCAGAUCUGGUUCUCAAAACUAACAGUCUGGCACUAUUCGGAAAAAGGUCAACGCAUGCUGUUGUACUUCUGAGAGUUCCUGAGCUCCAAAGAGAGAAGGAAAUGGAGAACUAAAAAUUCUUCCCCAAACAGGCAUACCUCAGAGAUAUUGUGGGUUGGGUUCCAGACCAUUGCAAUAAAGUGGAUAAUGCAAUAAAGUGAG